GACAGAGGCCUCAAGCGUUAGGCGGAAUCACUGGGCUUAAAGCGUGUGUAGGCGGACUUCUAAGUGCCUUGUGAAAUCCCACGGCUCAACCGUGGAACUGCUGGGGCAUACUGGGAGUCUUGGGCCAUUCAGGGGCAACUGGAACAAGCGGUGGAGCGGUGAAAUGCGUAGAUAUCGCUUGGAACGCCGAAGGUGAAAACAGGUUGCUGGGGGAUGUGCC
rnacentral:rRNA from 1 species